AUAAUGGUACUUCCGUCCAGCCACAGACUCAAUCAAUGGGGGCGGCAAUGCGAGAACCGCAUUGGGGUGAGAUGCCCAUGA
rnacentral:ncRNA from 1 species